rnacentral:tRNA from 1 species
GCCACCCUAGCUCAACGGUAGAGCAACGCUUUUGUAAAGCGAAGGUUCGCGGUUCGAAUCCGCGGGGUGGCU